AUGCUUCGAGUUCUUCUCCGUUGUGGAAGGAAGAGCUCCCAUUGGUCUCUCACUCAAAUUGAUUUUGAUACCCUUGAGCUAGUGAAGAGAUGUUUUGCUUGGUCUCCACAUUGGUAGAAGUUUGAACCUUGAGGAACUCACCCAUCAAUUCUUCAAAAUUAGGCUUCUUUGGUUCACUUGGAGCUUGAAUCGGCAUGCCUUGAAGAAUAGGUGGGGAAUUGUAGCUCUCGCCUUGAUUUGGACCUUGAAAUGAGCUAGAAUUGCCUUGAAACUUGCUACAACUAUAGCCAAUACCUUGUGUAAACCCGGGAGAGACAUUUGGAGCUUGGAAUCCUUGUGAAAAAGCGGCUUGACCAUGAGAAUAAGGCAUAUAUGCUUGCUGCCCUUGUGAAGAAAUAGGCAUAAAAUGAGUGUUUCCUUGGUGCACAUUGCCAUGGGGCAUGAAAUUGGAUGAUCCUUGGCCUUGGUUGCCUCCAAAGCCUUGCUUUCCUCCUUGGUGCAUAUUAGAAACUCCACCUUGAUC
rnacentral:lncRNA from 1 species